GGAGGGCGGGAUGAGAUAAGAAGGUGGCUCUCCCUUAUCCUCACUGAAAGGUUUGGAAAUUCCGCAGUCAUGGAUUCUCCUCCCUUUUCCACCUCAGUCCACAGCUUGCUUUCUUCGUUGUCAUUUCCUCUCUGUUCCUCCACUUCCAGCAAUGACUUGGUGGUUCUCAAAAGAACAAAUGUCUUCAGGGAUGCCUACAGCUGGAGGAGUUUGGCAUCUUACGAUCUCUAGAAUAUGCCCUUGCAGGGACUCCAGAUGUUGGAGGCUGAGUCACUUGGGCAAUGAUUCAGCCAUACCAACUGUGAACUCUCAAUGACUUGGGCUAAUGAGAAGAAUGACAUGGAUAAUCUAAAAAUAAUGGACAACUGGAAAAAACAUCAGCCUGCUUGUGGAGUGCACCAGGUCAUGAUUUUCUCCAGUGCAGGAGGAGCUGAUUUGCUUCAUUCAUUCUAGAACUUCUAUUCUAGCUGAUGUUAAAUCUUCUUGUUUUUGAGAGCACCCGUGGCCAUCAUGCCCAUCUCUGUAACACAGGGGUCUGGGAAAAGAAACUUUCUUCUGGCCAAGGAUGGAAGAAUAAAAACAUAACUGAGUUCCAGAUAUGCUAAUGUUUUCCACUACUGCAUCUCUAAGAUAUCAACAGGACCUGGAAAGGUGGCAAUGACCUCAUGGUUCCCAGGUGCUGGGGUUGCUGCAAUGGCUGGAGCUGAGGAAAACUUGAAGGUUUUAGAGAAGUUCUGCUUCCAGAUGAAGGGUGCAGAAUAAUUAAUGCUACGAGCUACAUGGAGUGGCCAGUUGAAGAAGCUAUAAAAGUUGGAGCAGUGCAGGAAGCAACAUGCCUGGGAAAGGGGAUUUUUUGCACUUUUUAUUGCAAUAAUGCAGAAAUAUUCUGUGAAUGGAAUCCAGGGGAGCUAUCAAGUCCAUGUUCGCGUGGCUGUAAGGGAAGGGAUUUUGAUCCUCUUCUGAGACAGCUGUCUUCAGGCUCAGGCAGAGAUCACAUUAUUUUAUUAGAGCCUUCAAUAGUUAAGAGAAAGUUAUUGGUUGAAUUGGGAAAGGGACCUAAAAAUAACUGUAAAAUGUUGAGCUAGCUCUGCCCCUUUCUGUACUAGAUACAGCCCUGGAUGCAGAGAACCAGAAACUUGAGGUUAAGACCUAGCUCUGGCACCAACUUGGACAAAUCAUGUCAUCUAUCUCCACCUAUCUCCCUCACUGUGAAAUGAGAGGAUUGGACUAAAUGAUAUCUAAAUCUCCCCUGGCCUCCAUUGUUUCUGCUUCGUGGAUGCCAUUUUAUGGAUCGAGAAAUCAAAGGCUAUUGACGAAAACGUUUGCAAUGUGCAGAUUCACUUGGAACACAGAAAGACUCAGAGAGCUGGUCAGUACCAAGGGAGGUUGGAGUGCUUUGCCUUGAAUGCAAGAAAUAAGGAUGUGCAAUGUCUAUGUAGAAUUUUAAAACAAUAACAGAU